UCGCUAGUAAUCGCGAAUCAGCAUGUCGCGGUGAAUACGUUCCCGGGUCUUGUACACACCGCCCGUCACACCAUGGGAGUCGGAAAUGCCCGAAGCCAGUGACCCAACCUUUAAGGAGGGAGCUGUCGAAGGCAGGUCUGGUAACUGGGGUGAAGUCGUAACAAGGUAGC
rnacentral:rRNA from 1 species